rnacentral:lncRNA from 1 species
GGAGGACAGAGCCUGGACCACGGGAAUAGGUCUACAGCACGUUCCUGGGGUCCGAGCUCUGGGAACCCCGAGGCUCUGAGACAGUAGCUGCCCCUCAGAGCUCCCAAGUAGAGAACUCCCCAGGCUUUCCCAAACUAACCUCGGUGCCCCCUGGCUGGAAAUCUUCUUUAGGGCUCAAUAUCCUACUUCCCUCUUGCAGCCAAGUAGCUGUGAGGAGAGAAGAGGAGGAAGCGCCAGGGAGCCCAGAGCCACCAGACAGUGACGCCACAGAGCCACAGCCAUCACACCCGCACAGUUUCUGAGGGAAGAACCAUCAACAGCUUUUACUUAUUGCUGGAAGAAAGCGGCAAUCAGUGGAUGAGAAAGGAAAGUCUGAGUGAGUUCUACUUUCUUUAAGUCUCCAAAUGGACACUUAAGGGGGAAAAUGCUGAUCCAGAGCAAUGGCUGACAGUGUUCCGGAUUAAGUGAGAGCCUAUUCAUCCUCUAACAUGAUGGCUGCAUCACAUUUUGCCAGUCAACUGAGAAAGGAUUUAAAUAUUGAGAUGAUUAGAGCUAAAAUUGCUGAGGAGAGAUUUCUCUCUCAGAAAGCAGGCAGAUAUGAUAAAUAUGAAUGAAAAUGACACUCCAACGUUGGAAGGUAGAAAUCUUGAAUUGGAGGAGGCAUCUCAAGAGCCUAUUCCAGAAGAGAUGCAUGUGAGGCAAAGACCAGUGAAAUAUGCAGCAUGUACAACAUAUUGAACGUAUUCAAGCUUAAUUGAUUCUGCAAAAGAGAGGCUUGGGCUAAAAUAUUUCUUCCAGAUUUGUCACUUUUGUGAUUCUAAAGGAAAAUGAGAGAAAAGAAUUGGACAAAAGUGUUAUAGGGUUGUUUUUGUUUUUGAGAUGACGUGAUCGGUGCAUGUUUGAAGGUCAAAGGAAAUGGGUUGGUAGUUGAGGGGGAGAAAGUAAGGAAUAACGUGUCUUAGGAGUUGGGAGGAAACGAAAAACUGGGCCAUAGAAUGAUAUAGGGUGGCCUUUAAAGGAAGAGCUAGACAUUUUUUGUCUGAGAAGGUGAUAUUGCUGCCUAUAUCAGCUCCUUGCGUCUACUCUAGCCCUCUCAAAUACUCCGUUCCUUGACCAAAAUCUCUCAAAGG